CAGUAGCCACGGUAAUACGUAGGUGGCAAGCGUUGUCCGGAAUUAUUGGGCGUAAAGGGCUCGCAGGCGGUUUCUUAAGUCUGAUGUGAAAGCCCCCGGCUCAACCGGGGAGGGUCAUUGGAAACUGGGAAACUUGAGUGCAGAAGAGGAGAGUGGAAUUCCACGUGUAGCGGUGAACUGCGUAGAGAUGUGGAGGAACACCAGUGGCGAAGGCGACUCUCUGGUCUGUAACUGACGCUGAGGAGCGAAAGCGUGGGGAGCGAACAGGAUUAGAUACCCGAGUAGUCCCUGUCUCUUAUAC
rnacentral:rRNA from 1 species